ensembl:lncRNA
ACACCUGUCGGUCUCCUAAAUCUCUGCCUGCAGGGCCCCAUGGAAAUGAGAAUGGACUGAAUUUUUGGUUUAAAGCAUGGAACCAUGGAACAAUCUAUGGAAAAAAGAAGCAUGGAACAAUCAAUAACUCAGCUACUAGCCUAAUUCUUGCUUCACAGCUACCAGCUCAACUUAACGCCUAAAACCAUUGGAAUUUUUACUAAGCGGUGAAAUUGACAAAAGUGUCCUGCUUUGUUAGUGGGGUGGUUUGGACCUCACCUAUGGAUGGGGGCUGGUUACCAAGAACACCAACCAUAUGAUCAGAGAAUGGAAACUUGCAGCCCCAUCCCCUGACUUCAGGGGUGGGAGAGGAGCUACAGAUUGAAUUGAUUGCUAAUGGACAAUAACUUAAUCAAUUUCCCUUUGUAAUAAAGUGUGAGGCAGGGGACACCUGUUACAUCCCUGGUCCAAAAAGAUCCCACAUGCUGCAGGGCAACUAGGCCCACGCCACCACCACGGAG